rnacentral:rRNA from 1 species
GACGGAGGAUGCAAGCGUUAUCCGGAAUGAUUGGGCGUAAAGCGUCCGCAGGUGGCAGUUCAAGUCUGCUGUCAAAGACCGGGGCUUAACUUCGGAAAGGCAGUGGAAACUGAACAGCUAGAGUAUGGUAGGGGCAGAGGGAAUUCCUAGUGUAGCGGUGAAAUGCGUAGAGAUCAGGAAGAACAUCGGUGGCGAAGGCGCUCUGCUGGACCAUAACUGACACUCAGAGACGAAAGCUAGGGGAGCGAAUGGG